GCUGAAAAGUAUUUAAAAGCUGCUAACUUUUUAUGAGUAUAUUAUGUACUACUUU
rnacentral:tRNA from 1 species